GAUGAAGAACGUAGCGAAAUGCGAUACUUGGUGUGAAUUGCAGAAUCCCGUGAACCAUCGAGUCUUUGAACGCAAGUUGCGCGCGAAGCCGUCAGGCCGAGGGCACGCCUGCCUGGGCGUCACACGCCGUUGCCCCCCCGCGCCCCGCACCCAACGCUUUGGGAGCGACCGCGGGGCGGGCUGAUGAUGGCCUCCCGUGCGCUCCGCCGCGCGGUUGGCCCAAAUACCGAGUCCCCGGCGACGUGCGCCACGACGAUCGGUGGUUGAGAGACCUCUGUCGCAAGUCGUGCGCGCCCGUCGCGUCACGCGGGCUCGCAUAGCGCCUCGCGCCGCACCCGGUGCGGAGCUUUCAACGCGACCCCAGGUCAGGCGGGGUUACCCGCUGAAUUUAAGCAUAUCAAUAAGCGGAGGA
rnacentral:misc_RNA from 1 species